ACCCCUAUGGCCGAAUGGAUAAGGUUCCCGCAUAUGAAAAAACGAUGGCGAAGGUUCGAUUCCUCUUGGGGAUU
rnacentral:tRNA from 1 species